AACACCGAAAGCAAUGGCAACAAAAGCCAAAAUUGACAAAUGGGAUCUAAUUAAACUAAAGAGCUUCUGCAUAGCAAAAGAAACUAUCAUCAGAGGUCCAAGAAAUGACAGUGUUGUCACCACUCAGAAAUGGCCAUUUCCAUUGGUAAUGCCAGCUGCUCGGGAAGCUGAGGCUGGAGAAUCGCUUGAACCCAGGAAGCAGAGGUUGCAGUGAGCCGAGAUCGGGCCAUUGCACUCCUUCUAUUCCAUUCCAUUCCAUUCUAUUCGAGCACCUUUCAUUCCAUUCCAUUCCAUUCCAUUCCAUUCCAUUCCAUUCCAUUCCAUUCCAUUCGGGUUCAUUCCAUUCUGUUAUAAUUCUAUUCCAUUCGAGUCCAUUCAAUGCCAUUCCAUUCCAUAUGAGUCCAUUCAACUCCAUUCCAUUCGAGUCCAUUCCAUUCCAUUCGAGUCCAUUCCAUUCCAAUGCAUUUGAGUCCAUUCCAUUCCAUGCUAUUCCAUUUGAGUCCAUUCCAUUCCAUUCCAUUCC
rnacentral:lncRNA from 10 species